CGGACGGGUGGAGUAUGUCUGGGAACGUGCCCGAUGGAGGGGAGUAACUACUGGAAACGGUAGCUAAUACCGCAUAACGUCGCAAGACCAAGAGGGGGACCUUCGGGCCUCUUGCCAUCGGAUGUGCCCAGAUGGGAUUAGCUAGUAGGUGGGGUAACGGCUCACCUAGGCGACGAUCCCUAGCUGGUCUGAGAGGAUGACCAGCCACACUGGAACUGAGACACGGUCCAG
rnacentral:rRNA from 1 species